AAGGGCGCACGGUGGAUGCCUUGGCACUAGGAGCCGAAGAAGGACGUGACAAACGACGAUAUGCCUUGGGUAGCUGUAAGUAAGCGAUGAUCCAGGGAUUUCCGAAUGGGGGAACCCAACAGGUACUACCUGUUACCCGCAUCUGUUAAGGAUGUGAGGAGGAAG
rnacentral:sRNA from 1 species